rnacentral:rRNA from 1 species
GGUAUGCUUCUUCGGAACAGAGACCGGCGCACGGGUGCGUAACGCGUAUGCAAUCUACCUUUUACAGAGGGAUAGCCCAGAGAAAUUUGGAUUAAUACCUCAUAGCAUAGCAACUUCGCAUGAAGUCACUAUUAAAGUCACAACGGUAAAAGAUGAGCAUGCGUCCCAUUAGCUAGUUGGUAAGGUAACGGCUUACCAAGGCUACGAUGGGUAGGGGUCCUGAGAGGGAGAUCCCCCACACUGGUACUGAGACACGGACCAGACUCCUACGGGAGGCAGCAGUGAGGAAUAUUGGACAAUGGGCGCAAGCCUGAUCCAGCCAUGCCGCGUGCAGGAUGACGGUCCUAUGGAUUGUAAACUGCUUUUAUACAGGAAGAAACCCUGGUUCGUGAACCAGCUUGACGGUACUGUAAGAAUAAGGAUCGGCUAACUCCGUGCCAGCAGCCGCGGUAAUACGGAGGAUCCAAGCGUUAUCCGGAAUCAUUGGGUUUAAAGGGUCCGUAGGCGGUUUAGUAAGUCAGUGGUGAAAGCCCAUCGCUCAACGGUGGAACGGCCAUUGAUACUGCUAAACUUGAAUUAUUAGGAAGUAACUAGAAUAUGUAGUGUAGCGGUGAAAUGCUUAGAGAUUACAUGGAAUACCAAUUGCGAAGGCAGGUUACUACUAAUUGAUUGACGCUGAUGGACGAAAGCGUGGGUAGCGAACAGGAUUAGAUACCCUGGUAGUCCACGCCGUAAACGAUGGAUACUAGCUGUUGGGAGCAAUCUCAGUGGCUAAGCGAAAGUGAUAAGUAUCCCACCUGGGGAGUACGUUCGCAAGAAUGAAACUCAAAGGAAUUGACGGGGGCCCGCACAAGCGGUGGAGCAUGUGGUUUAAUUCGAUGAUACGCGAGGAACCUUACCAAGGCUUAAAUGUAGUUUGACCGAUUUGGAAACAGAUUUUUCGCAAGACAAAUUACAAGGUGCUGCAUGGUUGUCGUCAGCUCGUGCCGUGAGGUGUCAGGUUAAGUCCUAUAACGAGCGCAACCCCUGUUGUUAGUUGCCAGCGAGUCAUGUCGGGAACUCUAACAAGACUGCCAGUGCAAACUGUGAGGAAGGUGGGGAUGACGUCAAAUCAUCACGGCCCUUACGCCUUGGGC